GUCGAAGGUGUUAAAGAGUUUAUCUUAGUUUACACGAAAUACAGUUAGUACAUAAAACACGAUGUUCAAAUCAAACCAAUGCACACAGUACCUUGCAUUUAUACACAUAUUUUUGAAAAUAUUGCAGGACCAUUCAAUAUACACAAUCGAAAAUCUAGAAAUAUUUCUUUCGAAAUGCAACAUCAAGAAUAGUUAAAAUCUUUCAAUAAUUUAAAUAUAAUCUGCUUGUCAACCUAUACUAAAGAUUGGUAUUAAUUGAUGAAAAUGAUCAUUAUAAAACAUUAACUGUUUUCCAACUUAAGAUAUCAAUGGGGUUACAAAAGAUGCGUGAACACAGAGUGAGAGGGCUGAGUGAAAUGAUGCCGAUUGCUGAAAUUGUCAGUCAAACACGUGUUUAAUUUACUAAUGGCUAUUGAAAGCAAGGUUCUUGUGGGUAUUUACCAAACAACCAAAGCAAUUAACGAUACAGUAACUUGAUUGAUCUGUUAUUCUGAUGAAUUUAACAACCAACCCGGUGGCAGUGAACUGAAACAUAAGUUGUACAGUUACAUGUUGCUAUAACUUGGAAUUAUCCAUUUCAACAAAAAUGAUGAAAUAUUCUUUAAACAAUCAGAAUCAAGACUAUUUGUAUCCAGCUUUGCAUCUAGAAAACUGCUUCUUUUUCGAUUAGGGCUAGAAAAUGUUUCAACCGAAAGAUUCAGGAAUUUUGUUUGGAAUUUUCCAAAGUUGUCCAUGGUUCUUUGCUUAAAUCAGACCGAACCAAGCUUUUGCAUAACAACCAAUGCACCAUCAAAACUAUGUUUUGCUCUGAAUUGUAAUACUUUAGAGCAUUACCGAUUUAAUCACCAUACGUUUUACUAAUAUACAUUUACUGUUCAAUCUUGAAGAUGAU
rnacentral:lncRNA from 1 species